CUUUUAUCUAAAUGAAAUUUCCCAUAAAUUUCCUUUGUCUCUUGUCCUGUUGUGAGAAUAGUCAGGCUCCAUUUCCUAUGUGUUGUCUGCCCAGGUAGUCGUGGAUAGCAAUAAGGUCUCCCAUUCAUCUUCUCUUCUGAAGAGUGGAGGGAGCCAGAGGAGAUACUGAGUCCUGCACCUGGGAGGAACAAAUCCAAGCUCCAGUACUUGCUGUGGGCCACCCAGCUGAAAAGCAGUUCUGCAGAAAAGGACAGGGGGAUCCUGGUGGACACCAAGUUGAGCAUGAGCAAGCAGUGUGUCCUUGUGGCAAAGAAGGCUGAGAAUGUCCUGGGUUGCAUUAGGCAAAAUAUUAGUAGCAAGUCAAGGGAGGUGAUCCUUCCCUACUGUUCAAUACUGGGAGGCCACACCUGAGUACUGUGCCGAGUUCUGGACUAACCAGUACAAGGGGGACAUGAACAUAGUGGAGAGAGUUUGACAAAAGUCCAUGAAGAUGAUUAAGGGACUGGAGCAUCUCUAAUUCAAGGAAAGACUAAGAGUGAUGGAACUGCUCAACCCAGAGGAGAGAGGACUCAGAGGAGAUCUCAUCAGUAUCUAUAAAUACUCAAAGGGAGGGUGCACAGAGAAUGGAGCCAGGUUCUUUUCAGUGGUGCCCUGUGUCAGAAGAACAUGCAAGGAUCAAAAGUCAGAGGACAGGAAGUUCCCUCUGAGCACUAGGCAGUGCUUCCAUGCUGUAUGGGUGACAGAGAACUGGCACAGGUUGCCCACAGAGGCAGUGCGGUCUCCUCCUUGGAGAUCUCCAAAAGCCAUCUGGCUGGGGACUUGGGGACCCUGCUCUUAGUGGCGCUGGUGGAACAGGGGUUGGGCCACAGGGACCAAGUCAACUGCAGAGAUCGUAUGAUUCCUGCCAUUCCAUUUCUCCAUUCAGUCUAGAUCUGAGUGGUAGCCUUCCUAUCCAGUGUAUUGACCGCUCCUUCAAUUAGGUGCUAUCUGUUUCUGAAAAGUUUCUAAUAAUGCAUUAUUGUUAUCACCCAAAUCAUUUACAAAGUAUUAAAACACUGUGGGUCUCAGAGGCCAAUAAAUCUUGGCACUUUAACAGUCAGUGUAUGAGAAUGCUAGAGCAGCUGCUUAUGCCUGGGAAAAGCAAUGCCAAAACUUGCACAUACCUUAGGCAAGUUUGUGCCUUAAGGCAGAAGACUAUUACAUGGAGGAAAUUUUGUCUCCAGAUGUUUUGCACUGAAAAUGAAUGAGCAACUUUCCCUAAAAUAGCAUAGCACAGAAUCUAUGUGACAUUGCAUCUUCUGAAAAUAUCUAAAUUUGCAUGUGAGUAAAUACGGAUUGAGGGGUGUCCUUCUAAACUUCUUUAGGAAAUAUGUUCUGAAAUAAGUGUCCAUAACAGCAGUUAGUAUGGUAAAGCAAAAAUACUGAAUUGUGAAAUUAGUGUAGCAAAAAUUGCACCUCUGAAUAUUUGGUGAGAGUUCAGCUUUUCUAAGAAGUACUCAGACAUCACCAGUUCUAAGAGCUCACAUACUGCAUCUUGGUAUAUAGAAAAAGUAGCUUGCAAGAAAUGUGAAGAAUGCUUCACUUGGUUUGAUUUUUAAAUGACAGACACUCGGUUAUUCUUCAUUAAGAAACAUGUUGAAACAUCUGUUUGAAAGAGUUUUGCUGGAAUGCUUGCAUUUUAAAUGGUAAAAAUUGUGUUGAAGGGGAAGACAUCUAAAAGGAGUUUUCUCAGAUACUGUAUUAUAUUAUGCUUGCCUUGACUGAAACUUGAGCAAGUGAUGUAAUUAAGCCACUUUUACAGACUUCACUAGUGCUAAAUAGCUCCCAGUUAAAAUAAUGUGAAGCUGCAAAAUCUUGGCACAUAUUUGUACCAUUGUUACUUUUCCAGAGGCUACAGCCAUUUUAACUACAGGUUUAUGCAAGCUUAGAUUAUACAUAUUGUGGAAUCACAUAGAUAUGGUGGUGUUUGAAAUCUCCUUCAAUUACAAUUUUGAGUAUAUUUUGCUUUAUUUUACUGCAAGUGUCGACUGCUCUGUUGACUUGUUCUUCUAAAUUAUUCAGGAAUCUGAAGCUUUGUUCCUCAAGGCAAUUAAAGCCAAUCCAAAUGCUGCCAGUUAUCAUGGUAAUUUAGCUGUGCUUUAUCAUCGCUGGGGAAAUCUUGACUUAGCAAAGAAGCACUAUGAAGUCUCUCUGAAGCUUGAUCCUGUGGCACCUGGGACCAAGGAAAACUACAAUCUCUUAAGAAGAAAACUGGAGCAAUUGCAAAGGAAAGGCGGUGCCUGAUAUUUCUUUUCAGGUUGUCCAUGCAUGCCCUUUACUACUAGUGUUACAUGGUUACUUUUGACCAUGUAAAGGAUUCAGUCAUCAUUUCUCAGAAAGAACAACACCAGCAAUGCACACUUGGAUGUCCAAUUAUGCCCUCCUGCAGAUUCUAACAUUUCAGCUGGAGUUUGGAGAUCUUUUUAUUUUUACUCUUGAACUCCAUUUUGAAGUCCCUUAGAACACUUUUGUAGGUAUACGAAAGCAAUGCAGAUGGAAUUUCACAGCUGUGAAAAAAUAGCAAUAUUUGCUUUCACUUGCAAUUUGAUAUCUUCAUCUGACUUUUUUAGCAGCAGGAUGAAUAUCAGAAGGCAGAUUUAUUUCUGAAAGCGUUUCUGGAAAAAGUGCAAUUUCCUGCUUAAAUACUGAUCAUUUCAAGUAUGAAGAAUAUAUGUCCACUUCAGUUUUAUUACUGCUUUCUACUGCUAGUCCUACAGAGCCAGUAGAAGAAUGUAUUCUUUCUGGCAGUCUAAUUUUGUAAUUUGAGUUAUGCUUUGUUUCUUGUUUCUGGCUCCACCCUUUGAACUGCAGGAUUUGUACAGGUGAAAACGUGCACCAUAAAAGGUUUGUCAGCCACCAAGCUGCUGAGAUAUGCUCGAGUGGAGGAAAUACUCCUGGAUUUAAGAUAAGAUUUUAGCAAGCAGCAAAUGGAAAAGAAAGAAGUGUCAGAUGUCAGAGGAGUAAGCUAGAGUUUCUGUUCUUCAGGUAACCUCAUCUAGCAUAGACAGGUUGGGCCACAAGUCAGAAUACCUUUAAGCUCUUGCAGCAAGUCAGUGGUCUAAAUACAGUAUAGCAUCUAUGAGAGUUGAUUCUCGUUGUCUAAGGCAUUGCAGUGUUUUUUGAUUGAGGACAUAACACCUUCUAGCUCCUACACUGCUGAUAAGAAAGAGAGAAUUUCUGUGGGAAAAGUAACUGGGCAGACAAUCUGACCUUGACUGAUAAGGUAUUAAGUGGAAGGAACUGUGAUAAACCAUUUGUCUAACCAUGGCUGGUGAGUUUGCUGAAAUCAGUUAAAUAAGCAUAGCUGUUAAUGUGUAAACUGAUCAGGUUGAUGCGGGGUGAUUGAGAGAGGGGCACCAAUUGAUACAGUGUCAUUUUUCAACUUGCUGUGAUACAUGUUUAAACUCUGGCUGUCCAGAGUUGUUUCUUUUGCUAGUAUUUAUAUCCCUGCUUCAGGGAAUGAUCUCGUGUCUAUUUUCUUAUUUGUUUGCUUGUUUUAUUUCAGAUUGGAUGACUUCUAUUGGAUGUGAAAAUUGAGGAACUUAGCCUCUUUUUUGUAUUCCAUUAUUCUUUCUUUUUAUCCCCAUAGGAAGACAUUGUUUAAUGUAGUAUUUGCAGCUUUCCUAAUUAGUGCAAUGGUUAUUUAAUAAGAGACUGUGGAAUGUUUUCCAUACACAACUCAUCUGCAGGUGUGUGGAACCAUUUAAAAUGUUGGGGAAAUGCCUGCCAUAGGACAGGCUGUCGCAUGAACUUGUCAUCUGACUACCAUGUAAACAUUCUACAUCCAGACUGUGUCUUGAACCUGUAGUAGGCUAACUUUUGAAAAUGACGGUUCAUUCAAGAACCAGUGUAUCUGCAGAGCUCACUAAGCAUCCUCCAACAAAGUUAGUUUGGGUACCACAAGUAGUGCAGCUGCUUCAAUGUAAUAUUCUUUCCUGAGUAACUACAAAUCUAGCCAGCAAGGCUGUGGCAGUGAUACUGCACAAAUUUGGCUUUGAAUGAAUUAAUAUGCCAAUGCCUGCAUUGCACAUGCACAAAUCUUGUAUUUGCCACGCUGAUUUUAGUUGAAGUACCAGAGGCAUGUAUUUGUAUUAAUGCAGCACUCCUCUCCUGCUACCAUACUCUGUUUCUCAGCAGGACUAAUUUGUUCAUGUAAGGUACCAACUUUGAUGCAUUGUUUUCAUUUCUUCUGGUUUUGCACCAGUAUGGCUUCCCAUCUUCUGAUGACCAGUAUAGUUCAGUCUUUACAGUUGAGCUUUCAUAUCUGAAAUGUGCUGAAAUAGAUAAACCCUUCAGUACAGACAGCAGACUUCUAAGGCUUUCCAUGCAGCUUAGCAUGCAUUGGAUGUAAAGACUUCUGUCGUUAGGUAUUAAAGGGUUGGGAUCUGGCUGGAUGAGCUAUGAACUAGCAGAAAAUAGAUGUUUAAUAUAAUCAAGUCUUUUCUGUAUAUUUGGAAUAUGACAUAUUGAGUUUAAAUUAUUAUUCUCAUCAUGAAGUUCAUAUGUAUAGUUGCCCCUGUUGCCUACUGAAGCUUACCAGUAGAUCAAUAUUAUAUAUGGGGUCUGAAUUCUCUGUGGUUCAUUACAAACCAAAGUUGUUGCAGAAAUUCCUGUGUGGAAAUCACUUUGUUCUCCUACUCAUGAGUCUUAUAUGGAAGAGGCAUGCUAACAAAUUGAACACUUUGUUGGCACUUGAAAAUGGUGUUUACUCUUCAAUACAGACAGUGUGAUUUAUUCUUGAUUAGUUUUCUGGGAACCUAUUGUAUUAUUAUGUGUGGGACUAUUUGUUUUAUAUCAUUUUUUAGUGCUGUAUAAAUUCAGUGUGAUUACUUGUAUGAGAGUAGUAACGAUACUCUUGUGAGUGAGCAUAAUGUUGAGGCAUACUUUGGGUUUGAAAGAAGCAAACCUUUUUUUUGUUGUUGUUUUAUUUUCAGAAUUAUUUUGAGAGAAAAACAGUUAUAAUGUUAACCACAUUCUUAUUUUCUCAUACCUCAUAACUGGCUCCUGCAAUGGUGCAGAACACAUACUCUGGAAGAGAAAAAGGUUUAGAAAAAAGUGGGUUUGUAUGUAGCUGUUGUUACAGUCUGUAUUUCCAGCAUGCUGGAUUUUUUUCUCCAUGUUGCCUUUCCAUCACUGACAAUUAUGGAAGACUAAUGUUUCCUUCGUAUCGGCUGACAUUAAAUCAAAAAACCUGGAUAUUCUUCAUUUUUCCAAAGCUUGCUUGUUCAAAUACAGUUUUGAAGACAUACUCAAUUAUUCAAUGCACAAAUGGCUACUAUGCAUUACAGCCCAUUUUCACCAAAAACUUCCAAGAGAAUUCCAUAAUUUUCUGUUCCUCUUGUGUUUAGAACAAUGUCGUUUACAUGAAGUUUCCUCUUAUUUAAUUCAUAUUUAGGUUUUAGAGAUCUGGGUUGUGUGUGUAUGAGCACUCAGAAAUAAAAAUCUUCAAUACUUCUGAAUGGUUUGCUACAAAUAUUGGGCUCUGUUAAUUGCAAUUUCCUCCACGUUUUAGACAUCUGAGCUGUUCAUCUUAGUUUUUCUGUAAUAGGAAUAAAACAAAUAUGAAACAUGGUUCAUCUCUUAAAGAAAAGGAUGUGAGGCAUCAUGUAUUUGAAACAGAUAAUUCCUCACUACCUUCAAAGGGUUACUAAGAUGAUCUGCUCAUAUAUAUUAAGAAAAUCUCUGCUGCUUUCAGGUGAAUUAAUCUGGUCUUCUCUUACACCAUCCCUUGCACAAAGAAUAUUAAAAGACUGGCUUUAGGGCAAACUGGCAGGUAUUUGCCUUGAGAGUCAGUUAUAGCAACUGGAUGAGGGAAUGGGAUAAUACAAAUUAGAAGUGUUUUAGUUUCUGCAGACAGUUAAGCUUAUGAGACAGAUAAAGCAUCUGAAUGUCAAAUCUCUCUACACAAACAGUGCAUUGGGGUUCAGUUCUAUCUAUUGUUAGCUUGUCUGUGAUCACAAUAAAUGAUGACAACUUAUUGUAAAAUUGACUUUUUGUCGUUGUUCACUGUUUUACAAGCAAGUUAAAGCAACUGUAAAUUUACAAAAAUGAGAUUUCCUUAAAUUGAAGUUGCUAUUUCAAGCUGCAACUGUCAGAAUGUCAAAUGUGAUAGUGUAGCCCACGUAUGUUUUGGGGUUUUUUUACAUUAAAUAUGUUAAAUUUUU